rnacentral:tRNA from 1 species
GGCUAGCUCAGUCAGUAUAGCAUGAGACUCUUAAUCCCAGAGUUAUGGGUUCAUACCCCAUGUUGGCUG